AACAUCAAUCCCCGAGGGUUUUUUGACCUUUUGGUGGACUUGGACCUGGGCGUCUGCCUCACAAGGCUCGUCUCAAAUGAUUCAGUGGGAAUUUCUUGACCUACGCCUGACGUGAUAAGUUUCGUCUCGGCCGGUCUUGAGGCCUGCUCAUAACAACCCGCAUAUUUUGA
rnacentral:misc_RNA from 1 species